CCAAAGCCCGCAUGAAGGAUGGCAGCGGAAAUCCUUUUAUGCAGCGUAGCGAAAUAAAAGAUUGCAGCGCACAGCCUGACGCAGC
rnacentral:sRNA from 1 species